rnacentral:snRNA from 1 species
GUGCUCGCUCCGGCAGCUCUUCUACUAAAAUUGGAAUAGAGAGGAGAUUAGCUUGGGCCCUGCGCAAGGAUGACACGAAAAUUCGUGAAGCGUUCCAUAAUUUU